AAUUAGGUAUUUUAAACAUGUGACAAGUGGUAUGACACGGUAUUGAUGUAUGUGAAACGUAUAGAGUCUUUCAGUUAUCAGAUAAUGUUAAGGAGUUGACGGCAUGGUGUCCGAUUUAAAGUGCGAACCUAUGUACGAGUAACAACAGUAUUCAAAACCAAAAACUAUUUAAACCAACCAAACCAAAACUAGCGACCAAAAACUAAUAUCUUGGCAUUGGUUUAUUUUAAGCAUCUAUUAUAUAUAUGUGUGUGUUUAAUAUAAAUGUACUAGCUUGAGUAUAGUGUAUUAAAAAUAUUUUUUUU